rnacentral:rRNA from 1 species
AUGCCGGAGCCUGCCCCGGUGAUCAGGCGGAUCCGCAAGGAGCUGAAACAGCUCUGGAUGGACCCGCCGGCGUUCUGCCGGCCCGGCGCGUCGCCCGUGACGGACCUGUUCCACUGGGAGGUGAUCAUCGACGGCCCCCACGGCAGCCCCUACGCCGGCGGCACGUUCCCCGUCGACGUCGCCUACCCCAAGGACUACCCCUUCAAGCCCAUCAAGCUC